rnacentral:rRNA from 1 species
UACAGAGGUCUCAACCGUUGUUCGGAUUCAUUGGGCGUAAAGGGUGCGUAGGCGGUCGGGUAAGUCGGAUGUGAAAUCUCAGGGCUCAACCCUGAAACUGCAUUCGAUACUGCUUGGCUAGGGUACUGGAGAGGAGACUGGAAUUUACGGUGUAGCAGUGAAAUGCGUAGAGAUCGGGAGGAACACCGGUGGCGAAGGCGGGUCUCUGGGCAAUUCCUGACGCCGAGGCGCGAAAGCGUGGGGAGCAAACGGG